rnacentral:rRNA from 1 species
GAAAUGCGAUAAGUAAUGUGAAUUGCAGAAUUCAGUGAAUCAUCGAAUCUUUGAACGCACCUUGCGCUCCUUGGUAUUCCGAGGAGCAUGCCUGUUUGAGUGUCAUGGAAUUCUCAACUUAUAAAUCCUUGUGAUCUAUAAGCUUGGACUUGGAGGCUUGCUGGCCCUUGCGGUCGGCUCCUCUUGAAUGCAUUAGCUUGAUUCCGUACGGAUCGGCUCUCAGUGUGAUAAUUGUCUACGCUGUGACCGUGAAGUGUUUUGGCAAGCUUCUAACCGUCCAUUAGGACAACUUUUUAACAUCUGACCUCAAAUCAGGUAGGACUACCCGCUGAACUUAA